rnacentral:rRNA from 1 species
UGUGUUAGUGGAAGCGUCUGGAAAGUCGCGCAGCAAAGGGUGAUAGCCCCGUACACUAAAAUGCACAGGUCGUGAGUUCGAUGAGUAGGGCGGGACACGUGACAUCCUGUCUGAAUAUGGGGGGACCAUCCUCCAAGGCUAAAUACUCCUGACUGACCGAUAGUGAACCAGUACCGUGAGGGAAAGGCGAAAAGAACCCCGGCGAGGGGAGUGAAAUAGAACCUGAAACCGUGUACGUACAAGCAGUGGGAGCACCUUCGUGGUGUGACUGCGUACCUUUUGUAUAAUGGGUCAGCGACUUAUAUUUUGUAGCAAGGUUAACCGUAUAGGGGAGCCGUAGGGAAACCGAGUCUUAACUGGGCGACUAGUUGCAAGGUAUAGACCCGAAACCCGGUGAUCUAGCCAUGGGCAGGUUGAAGGUUGGGUAACACUAACUGGAGGACCGAACCGACUAAUGUUGAAAAAUUAGCGGAUGACUUGUGGCUGGGGGUGAAAGGCCAAUCAAACCGGGAGAUAGCUGGUUCUCCCCGAAAGCUAUUUAGGUAGCGCCUCGUGAACUCAUCUUCGGGGGUAGAGCACUGUUUCGGCUAGGGGGCCAUCCCGGCUUACCAAACCGAUGCAAACUCCGAAUACCGAAGAAUGUUAUCACGGGAGACACACGGCGGGUGCUAACGUCCGUCGUGAAGAGGGAAACAACCCAGACCGCCAGCUAAGGUCCCAAAGUCAUGGUUAAGUGGGAAACGAUGUGGGAAGGCAUAGACAGCCAGGAUGUUGGCUUAGAAGCAGCCAUCAUUUAAAGAAAGCGUAAUAGCUCACUGGUCGAGUCGGCCUGCGCGGAAGAUGUAACGGGGCUAAACCAUGCACCGAAGCUGCGGCAGCGACGCUUAGGCGUUGUUGGGUAGGGGAGCGUUCUGUAAGCCGUUGAAGGUGGCCUGUGAGGGUUGCUGGAGGUAUCAGAAGUGCGAAUGCUGACAUAAGUAACGAUAAAGCGGGUGAAAAGCCCGCUCGCCGGAAGACCAAGGGUUCCUGUCCAACGUUA